rnacentral:rRNA from 1 species
GACGAACGCUGGCGGCGCGCUUAACACAUGCAAGUCGAGCGAGAACCAGGGCUUCGGCCCUGGGGACAGCGGCGAACGGGUGAGUAACACGUGGGUAAUCUGCCCUCGGCACCGGAAUAGCCCGGGGAAACCCGGAUUAAUGCCGGAUGGCCCCUUCACCUCGCGAGGUGUCGGGAAAAGGUAGCUUCGGCCUCUGGCCGAGGAUGAGCCCGCGGCGGAUUAGCUUGUUGGCGGGGUAACGGCCCACCAAGGCGACGAUCCGUAGCUGGGCUGAGAGGACGAUCAGCCACACUGGGACUGAGACACGGCCCAGACUCCUACGGGAGGCAGCAGUGGGGAAUCUUGCGCAAUGGGCGAAAGCCUGACGCAGCGACGCCGCGUGAGGGAAGACGGCCUUCGGGUUGUAAACCUCUUUCAGGAGGGACGAAGCUACUCGGGUGAAUAGCCCAGAGGGUGACGGUACCUCCAGGAGAAGCCCCGGCUAACUACGUGCCAGCCGCCGCGGUAA